GACGAACGCUGGCGGCGUGCUUAACACAUGCAAGUCGAACGGAAAGGCCCUGCUUUUGUGGGGUGCUCGAGUGGCGAACGGGUGAGUAACACGUGAGUAACCUGCCCUUGACUUUGGGAUAACUUCAGGAAACUGGGGCUAAUACCGGAUAGGAGCUCCUGCUGCAUGGUGGGGGUUGGAAAGUUUCGGCGGUUGGGGAUGGACUCGCGGCUUAUCAGCUUGUUGGUGGGGUAGUGGCUUACCAAGGCUUUGACGGGUAGCCGGCCUGAGAGGGUGACCGGCCACAUUGGGACUGAGAUACGGCCCAGACUCCUACGGGAGGCAGCAGUGGGGAAUAUUGCACAAUGGGCGGAAGCCUGAUGCAGCAACGCCGCGUGCGGGAUGACGGCCUUCGGGUUGUAAACCGCUUUCGCCUGUGACGAAGCGUGAGUGACGGUAAUGGGUAAAGAAGCACCGGCUAACUACGUGCCAGCAGCCGCGGUGAUACGUAGGGUGCGAGCGUUGUCCGGAUUUAUUGGGCGUAAAGGGCUCGUAGGUGGUUGAUCGCGUCGGAAGUGUAAUCUUGGGGCUUAACCCUGAGCGUGCUUUCGAUACGGGUUGACUUGAGGAAAGGUAGGGGAGAAUGGAAUUCCUGGUGGAGCGGUGGAAUGCGCAGAUAUCAGGGGGAACACCAGUGGCGAAGGCGGUUCUCUGGGCCUUUCCUGACGCUGAGGAGCGAAAGCGUGGGGAGCGAACAGGCUUAGAUACCCUGGUAGUCCACGCUGUAAACGGUGGGUACUAGGUGUGGGGUCCAUUCCACGGGUUCCGCGCCGUAGCUAACGCUUUAAGUACCCCGCCUGGGGAGUACGGCCGCAAGGCUAAAACUCAAAGGAAUUGACGGGGCCCCGCACAAGCGGCGGAGCAUGCGGAUUAAUUCGAUGCAACGCGUAGAACCUUACCUGGGUUUGACAUGGAUCGGGAGUGCUCAGAGAUGGGUGUGCCUCUUUUGGGGUCGGUUCACAGGUGGUGCAUGGCUGUCGUCAGCUCGUGUCGUGAGAUGUUGGGUUAAGUCCCGCAACGAGCGCAACCCUUGUUCACUGUUGCCAGCACGUUAUGGUGGGGACUCAGUGGAGACCGCCGGGGUCAACUCGGAGGAAGGUGGGGAUGACGUCAAGUCAUCAUGCCCCUUAUGUCCAGGGCUUCACGCAUGCUACAAUGGCUGGUACAGAGAGUGGCGAGCCUGUGAGGGUGAGCGAAUCUCGGAAAGCCGGUCUCAGUUCGGAUUGGGGUCUGCAACUCGACCUCAUGAGGUCGGAGUUGCUAGUAAUCGCAGAUCAGCAACGCUGCGGUGAAUACGUUCCCGGGGCU
rnacentral:rRNA from 1 species